rnacentral:rRNA from 1 species
AUACGGAGGGUGCAAGCGUUAUUCGGAAUCACUGGGCGUAAAGCGCGCGCAGGCGGCUAUUUAAGUUGGAUGUGAAAGCCUACGGCUCAACCGUAGAACUGCAUCCAAAACUAUUUAGCUAGAGUGUGGGAGAGGAAGAUGGAAUUAGUUGUGUAGGGGUAAAAUCCGUAGAGAUAACUAGGAAUACCAAAAGCGAAGGCAAUCUUCUGGAACACUACUGACGCUGAGGCGCGAAAGCGUGGGGAGCAAACAGGAUUAGAAACCCUUGUAGUCC